rnacentral:rRNA from 1 species
CAUGCAAGUCGAACGCAGUAGCAAUACUGAGUGGCAAACGGGUGAGUAUAAUGUGGGAAUCUGCCUUUUGGUUUGGAAUAACACGGGGAAACUUGUGCUAAUACCGGAUAAGCCCUUACGGGGAAAGUUUUAACGCCGAAAGAUGAGCCUGCACUUGAUUAGCUAGUUGGUAAGGUAAAAGCUUACCAAGGCAACGAUCAAUAGCUGUUCUUAGAGGAAGACCAGCCACAUUGGGACUGAGACACGGCCCAGACUCCUACGGGAGGCAGCAGUGGGGAAUCUUGCACAAUGGGGGAAACCCUGAUGCAGCGAUGCCGCGUGAGUGAAGAAGGCCUUUGGGUUGUAAAACUCUUUCGUCGGGGAAGAAAAUGACUGUACCCGAAUAAGAAGGUCCGGCUAACUUCGUGCCAGCAGCCGCGGUAAUACGAAGGGACCUAGCGUAGUUCGGAAUUACUGGGCUUAAAGAGCUCGUAGGUGGUUAAAAAAGUUGAUGGUGAAAUCCCAAGGCUCAACCUUGGAACUGCCAUCAAAACUUUUUAGCUAGAGUGUGAUAGAGGUAAGUGGAAUUUCUAGUGUAGAGGUGAAAUUCGUAGAUAUUAGAAAGAACACCAAAAGCGAAGGCAACUUACUGGGUCACUACUGACACUGAGGAGCGAAAGCAUGGGUAGCGAAGAGGAUUAGAUACCCUCGUAGUCCAUGCCGUAUACGAUGUGUGCUAGACGUUGGAAAUAUAUUUUUCAGUGUCGCAGCGAAAAGCAUUAAGCACACCGCCC